GAUGAACGCUAGCUACAGGCUUAACACAUGCAAGUCGAGGGACCGGCGCACGGGUGAGUAACACGUAUCCAACCUGCCCUUUACUCGGGGAUAGCCUUUCGAAAGAAAGAUUAAUACACGAUAUAAAGGAUGGGGAUGCGUUCCAUUAGGUUGUUGGUGAGGUAACUGCCCACCAAGCCUUCGAUGGAUAGGGGUUCUGAGAGGAAGGUCCCCUGCAUUGGAGCUGAGACCCGGUCCAAACUCGUAGGGGACGCAGCAGUGAGGAAUAUUGGUCAAGAGGCGUUAGCCUGAACCAGCCACGUAGCGUGAAGGAUGAAUGCUUAUGGGUCGUCAAUUUCUUUGAUAUAAGAAUCUGUAUUAUAUCAAUAAGGAUCGGCUAACUCCGUGCCAGCCGCCGCGGUAAUUC
rnacentral:rRNA from 1 species